rnacentral:misc_RNA from 1 species
GAAAUGCGAUAAGUAAUGUGAAUUGCAGAAUUCAGUGAAUCAUCGAAUCUUUGAACGCACCUUGCGCUCCUUGGUAUUCCUUGGAGCAUGCCUGUUUGAGUAUCAUGAAAUCUUCAAAGUAAAUCUUUUGUUAACUCAAUUGGUUUCUACUUUGGUAUUGGAGGUCUUUGCAGCUUCACACCUGCUCCUCUUUGUUCAUUAGCUGGAUCUCAGUGUUAUGCUUGGUUCAACUCGGCGUGAUAAGUUAUCUAUCGCUGAGGACACUGUAAAAGGUGGCCAAGGUAAAUGCAGAUGAACCGCUUCUAAUAGUCCAUUGACUUGGACAAUAUUUUUAUGAUCUGAUCUCAAAUCAGGUAGGACUACCCGCUGAACUUAAGC